AACAUCGCGCACCUGCGGGAACCUGCGGAGGGAUCAUUACAGAGUUGCAAAACUCCCUAAACCAUUGUGAACGUUACCUAAACCGUUGCUUCGGCGGGCGGCCCGGGUCCUUCCCGGCGCCCAUCGGCCCUCGCGGGCGCCCGCCGGAGGUAAACCAAACUAUUGCAUUGUAUGGCCUCUCUGAGUCUUCUGUACUGAAUAAGCCAAAACUUUCAACAAUGGAUCUCAGAUCGGAAGAGC
rnacentral:misc_RNA from 1 species